AGUUUACACGCUACAUCAGAAAUUGAAUACUAACCCUACUAUGUAGUAUGUGAUAAACCAUACGCCAAAGUGUCUGAAUACAUAGUUUUCGAAAAAUAGUAGGUGGAUUACCCAGAUGACCUACUACUUCCUGCAAGAUUCUGACGUGUGCAUUCGAUGGACACUUUACUCUUCCAUGAGGAUUUAUGAAUGUUAUUGAAUCAACACAACUAAUGCUGCUCUCCAAUAUCUCUGAUGAUCUGCACGGUGAACACAUCCUCUGGCUGUGAACAGCUGAAAUUCAAACUCGUAUCAUUUCUGAGGAUCACAGAAGAUUGGCACACCUGACUUAUACAAACUUCACACUGUGCGUUUAUGCCAGCACUUGUGUUAAUGUGGAUGAUUGUGCCCUCUUCAACAGCAACGUUGAGCUCUGCACCACCUGAAAUGAUGAAGAGACAAACUUUUAUUAUGCACACAUCAAGAUUUUAGCUUAAAAUGCAUGAGUAUAUAUAUAUAUAUAUAUAUAUAUAUAUAUAUAUAUAUAUAUAUAUAUAUAUAUAUAUA